GACGAACGCUGGCGGCAGGCCUAACACAUGCAAGUCGAACGGAUCCUUCGGGAUUAGUGGCGGACGGGUGAGUAACGCGUGGGAACAUACCCUUUGGUACGGAAUAGCCUCGGGAAACUGGGAGUAAUACCGUAUGUGGUCGAGAGACGAAAGAUUUAUCGCCAAAGGAUUGGCCCGCGUUGGAUUAGGUAGUUGGUGGGGUAAUGGCCUACCAAGCCGACGAUCCAUAGCUGGUUUGAGAGGAUGAUCAGCCACACUGGGACUGAGACACGGCCCAGACUCCCACGGGAGGCAGCAGUGGGGAAUCUUAGACAAUGGGGGAAACCCUGAUCUAACCAUGCCGCGUGAUCGAUGAAGGCCUUAGGGUUGUAAAGAUCUUUCAGGUGGGAAGAUAAUGACUGUACCACCAGAAGAAGCCCCGGCUAACUCCGUGCCAGCCGCCGCGGUAA
rnacentral:rRNA from 1 species